UUAUUUUUAAGUCUAAGAUAUUGGAGAUAUUAUCACCUUGCAGAAAUAAAGUAGUUUUGGUUAGCAUGUAAUAACUAGCCAAUGGCAAGCUGUCAAUUAUUCCACGCGUCAUUCAAAAAUAUAUAUAAAAAAAAUUAAAAAAUUAAAAAUUAAAAGCAAGCACGUAGCAAGUGAUGAUUAUCAUUAACUAACCUUAAUUUUAUAAUUAGAUAACUUGCAAGAUUCUAUAUUAUUAUUCUCCCCACAGGUACCAAGACAAAGCUGACUAUAAUUAAAUAAUUAGAUACUUGCAAGAUUCUAUAUUCCCACAAGUAUUCAGUACCCAGCUGAAUAUACUAUCAAUAAUUCAAAAUUACCUCAGGGGUACAGAAAUCUUGAAUCUAUCAACAAAUUACUUUUUUUUUACAGUUAAACUAAGACCUAGUUGAUGAAGAUAAUGUUGUAAUAAUACCCUUUGUGUCUUUUCGAAUCAUGUUCGAGGCACGAGGUUUUAGGUAAGAAUCGUAAGCAAGUGAAAUUUAAGACAACUUGCGUAAGAUAUUGAAGAUUUCUACUGUGAGAGACUUCUACCAAGUUUAUGACGAUAACACCCUCGUGUUUAUGUGUGUAAAUAUACCGAUAUUCCUUAAAAAUACCUGCUGAUGGAUAUAUUGCAGUUUCUUUAACUACAGAUCUUACAUGUUCUCCAUUUCAUUUCCUGCAAAUGAAUGAGAGAAGGGCAUAAUUGUCAUUACAGACAUGAAAUCGAAACAGACAAAACAAACAAAUAAAAAAAGGUCUAGUAGGAAUCUUAUAUAGAAUAAUAUACAAAGUCAAGAAUUGCACAUUCUCUUGUGACCUUUUAGAUUCCUGGUAAGCUAAGGCUCCAAAGUCAAUGCCAGAAACAAAUCGUGAAACUCAAAACAUUACGAUCCCACUACGAAGAAACAAUUGAAAUUUACGCAACUAGGCCAUUUAACAAUCAAAACUCCAUAUACAAGCAAUUUUCUUCCCUCCCCUCAACCCCUGGAAAACCGAUUCGCAUGUUGGAAACAUUCAAUGUUUCUUUAUUUUCUUAAAUGUCAAACAACAACUGAGCAAUGAGACUCGACGAUAGUGAACAAACUUCUACCCCUUUCUUGCACACAAAAAGACACUUACGCAAUAUUUUUUUUUUUUUACAUUAAUCACAAACCUGAACAAGUUUGAAAUUCGCCAACUCUCCAAAGACACAGGUUGUCCUUUUCAGCUGUGAGCUAAUACUUAUAUGUAUAUAAAUAUAUAUAUAAAAAAAUAUAUUCUAGUAAUUAAUUGUACUGGAUUAAAACAGUAUAUAAGAAGCACCCAAGAUUACUUCUAAAGAUCAUCUCUUUCUCUGCAUAGUAAAGUGAUCCAAAGGGUAAGCAAAAGCUUACCACCUCUAAUUUUCUCUUUGGUUCACUUUCUUGCAGCUACUAAACUAAAAACCAGACAUGGAGAACGUACCUGCUUUCAGCGCUACAGAAGAGUCUGGCCGGAAGAAGUUUGCGCUUCCGGUGGACUCUGAGCACAAAGCCACCGAAUUCCGGCUAUUCUCAGUGGCGGC
rnacentral:lncRNA from 1 species